UUGAGAUCUGCUGCGGCUAGGACC
rnacentral:miRNA from 1 species